GUGAGAUGUCUGUCUACCAUAUAUUAUGUCAUACAAUAAACAAAGGUUAGGAUUAAGAUCUAAAGUGUGAUAUAAAUUAAUUGUAAGUUGCUCACUGGCACUAAAAGCCCAGAGGAAAACAUGCCUGGUAGUGCUUUAUUUCACAUGCACAUGUAUGUGCAUUAAAAUGAAAAGAAAUAAACCAAUAAUAUCAUAUCUUUUACCAGUUAUCAAUUCAAAAGAAAUGACAUUAUAAAUGCUCCCUUCAUUUCUGUCUGUCUAGCUCGGUGUGGCUGUGCUCUCAAACAUCUCUCUCUGUUUUGUUUUCUUUUUUUGUUUUUUUUUUUUACCUCACUUUACCCACGUCCUAAGCAGUCGAGUCACAGAAAAAACAAAUCUUAUUGGUUAUAUGUAUUAUAGAUUAGCAGAAAAUUGGCUGCUGCAUUUCUGAUAUCCUUAAUUAACAAAUUUUGAUGUUACCUUCUCCCCUCUUUGGUCCUCCUCCUUCUCGAGCCAUUUUCUCCUUCAGCUAUUUGAAACUAUGAUAGCAGCAGUGAUGACACACCUGUGCCUCAGUCAGUGUAUGGCUGUGUGCAGAACAGAUAAUGGCAGCGUUACUGUGAGCACCGUGCCUUAGAACUGGACGUAAUAAGGCCCGUGUAUAAUGAAUUGUUGAACACAGUUGAUGCUAGCCUGCCUGCGGGCUGUAUCUCGGAUAUGGCAUGUUAGCACAUGGCUGAACGCUCAUGAGUGCAAAUGCACUUACACAAAUUCUGCUGCAGCCAAGUCUAUCAAGAGCUAUCCGUGCCACACACACUGUCACCUGAGAACAUAAACCAUCAGCACAAUCACAUAACACAAACAAAUAUCUGGUGGGACAAAUGGCUACCGUCAUAGCUGGACUGGCCAUCGGGCAUACCGGGCAUUUGCCCGGUGGGCCGCUGGCGAUUUUUUGUUUUUAUGGGACGAUCGAUUUUUUUUUUUUUUGGAAGGGUAUAAAUAAUGAAAGGUGUUGGAUUGGCCAAUUGGUCAUGAUCGACUCUGGGCUGGACCAAUUACAGCCGAGGAGGUCGGAUGCACCCUCCCCCUUGUUGAGCAAUCUUAUAGAUGAACUAAAGAAAAUGGAGAACAAAAAAAGGAAAGGAGGUGCAGAAAAAAUUAGGGCCAAAAAGAAACAAGCCCUUCAGGCAGACGCUGCCAAAUGUGUAAAAAUAACUGAAUUGUUUGGUGGUAGCUAUGGCAUAGCUUCCACAGAUUUAGCAACAUCAGCAAGUGGUGGAGGCCAGCAGGUGGAUAAGGGAAAGGGGAGGCAAGAGGAGAGACCCGAGGCGGCCGCCGGUCAUAGUGGCAGAGGAACUGAACUUCAGGUAAGAAGUUAUGACCUGCUGUCUAUCUGUGUCAGAUAUAAAC
ensembl:lncRNA